UCCGCGCUCAAAGAAUCGCAUUCGAAGCCUACGCGUAGCGUCCGCCCUCGUGGCAAGAUGCAUGCCCUCCUCGCUUCGGGAGAAAGUCCCCGGACCACCUGUACUCUGUGCAGGACUUGCCGCAAGGCGCCGCCAUAAAAGCAUACCCAACGCGGCUUACACUCGCCGUCUCUCCGCACGGCACCUUUUCUCCAUACCCUCGAUCCGACCUCGAUGCCGUUCGCAUGCCCUCGACGAAACCUGCGUGGUGAAGAGCAGAGUGGAAGGGCGGAUGGAUGAAGAUACGAGUCCGUCAACACUUCGGUGGCCUGGAAGCCUGGUUGGAACUCGUAGGUGGACGUGAGGGGAGAGGUCUUGAGGGUGCCAGUUAGGUCCGAGGCUGGAGUGGUGCUGGAGGCGACGGUUGCGCGAUUCGUCGAAGAUGAAUAGUUAUGCGAUUGUCUCUGCGUGAGAUAACUCGAUGGGGCUUAUUCUUGAGGCGCGG
rnacentral:RNase_MRP_RNA from 2 species